rnacentral:lncRNA from 1 species
UGUAGGGAAAACUCUGGUAUGACCUCCUUAAAUCAGAUCGUAAACACCUUAUGUGGAACCUAGAUGUUACUCCAGCAAUUGACAAAGAAGAGAGAAUCAUGUUAGGGUUUGGUGUUAGAACUAGAGAGGGAGAGAAAAUUAGGGAGAAAAAAUCUUUAUUUACUCAAUCACAUUAUUAAAUCCUAAUACAACUUAUGUUUAUUUAUACAUAGUCA